rnacentral:misc_RNA from 1 species
GUAAACUUCCAUCUCUUGUAAGGCAGAAUGUUAGGUGUCUUCCACAAUAUCCUUCGUUUGGUUUGGUCUUGCUCUUCCAAAGGUUGAGAUUAUGGUUUGGUUGGCGUGCCUUGGGAGAUUGGUCUGAAAAGAAUGGUUACGUAGGCUCAAUAUUAUCCCAGCAUCCGAGAUUCUUAGUUACCGUUGUAGUGAUGCCAUUAAAUCAGUCACUCAUAUCUUUUUGGGGCGCAAAACUUCAUGAGAGGUGUGGUCUUGGUUCUUUAGUCGGUGGGGAAUUUAUUUGGGUAUUCCUAUUUCUGUUUCUUUGUUGCAGCNNNNNAUUUUGGCUCAUGGGAAGUUUCAGGUCAAAUUCUGGAACACUUUAUUUUUCUCAAUUAUGUGGUCCAUCUGGCUUAUGAAAUGAAAGAAUUUUCUGGGGUAAGGAGGUGUCAUUGCUCUCUCUGCUUUCUCUUAUUCUCCAUCGAGCAGCCACGUGGCUCAAGGCAAUGGAAGCUAGCUUCCCAUACUCUGGUUUGGAUCUGCUGUCUUCAGUCUCUUCCGUCAAAGCAUCGACCUGUAUCUUCUUGGACCCCUCCGCCUCUAAAUCACCUCAAGUGGAACGUUGAAGG